rnacentral:rRNA from 1 species
GAUGAACGCUGACAGAAUGCUUAACACAUGCAGGUCAACUUGAACUUCGGUUUGGGUGGCGGACGGGUGAGUAACGCGUAAAGAACUUGCCUCACAGAUAGGGACAACAUUUGGAAACGAAUGCUAAUACCUGAUAUUAUGAUUAUAUGGCAUCGUAUAAUUAUGAAAGCUAUAUGCGCUGUGAGAGAGCUUUGCGUCCCAUUAGCUAGUUGGAGAGGUAACGGCUCACCAAGGCGAUGAUGGGUAGCCGGCCUGAGAGGGUGAUCGGCCACAAGGGGACUGAGACACGGCCCUUACUCCUACGGGAGGCAGCAGUGGGGAAUAUUGGACAAUGGACCAAGAGUCUGAUCCAGCAAUUCUGUGUGCACGAUGAAGUUUUUCGGAAUGUAAAGUGCUUUCAGUUGGGAAGAAAAAAAUGACGGUACCAACAGAAGAAGUGACGGCUAAAUACGUG